GGGUUGUGAGGUUAAGCGACUAAGCGUACACGGUGGAUGCCCUGGCAGUCAGAGGCGAUGAAGGACGUGCUAAUCUGCGAAAAGCGUCGGUAAGGUGAUAUGAACCGUUAUAACCGGCGAUGUCCGAAUGGGGAAACCCAGUGCAAUUCGUUGCACUAUCGUUAACUGAAUACAUAGGUUAACGAGGCGAACCGGGGGAACUGAAACAUCUAAGUACCCCGAGGAAAAGAAAUCAACCGAGAUUCCCCCAGUAGCGGCGAGCGAACGGGGAGCAGCCCAGAGUCUGAAUCAGCUUGUGUGUUAGUGGAACGGUCUGGAAAGUCCGACGGUACAGGGUGAUAGUCCCGUACACCAAAAUGCACAGGCUGUGAACUCGAAGAGUAGGGCGGGACACGUGGUAUCCUGUCUGAAUAUGGGGGACCAUCCUCCAAGGCUAAAUACUCCUGACUGACCGAUAGUGAACCAGUACCGUGAGGGAAAGGCGAAAAGAACCCCGGCGAGGGGAGUGAAAAAGAACCUGAAACCGUGUACGUACAAGCAGUGGGAGCACCUUCGGGUGUGACUGCGUACCUUUUGUAUAAUGGGUCAGCGACUUAUAUUCUGUAGCAAGGUUAACCGUAUAGGGGAGCCGCAGGGAAACCGAGUCUUAACUGGGCGUUAAGUUGCAGGGUAUAGACCCGAAACCCGGUGAUCUAGCCAUGGGCAGGUUGAAGGUUGGGUAACACUAACUGGAGGACCGAACCGACUAAUGUUGAAAAAUUAGCGGAUGACUUGUGGCUGGGGGUGAAAGGCCAAUCAAACCGGGAGAUAGCUGGUUCUCCCCGAAAGCUAUUUAGGUAGCGCCUCGUGAACUCAUCUUCGGGGGUAGAGCACUGUUUCGGCUAGGGGGUCAUCCCGACUUACCAACCCGAUGCAAACUACGAAUACCGAAGAAUGUUAUCACGGGAGACACACGGCGGGUGCUAACGUCCGUCGUGAAGAGGGAAACAACCCAGACCGCCAGCUAAGGUCCCAAAGUCAUGGUUAAGUGGGAAACGAUGUGGGAAGGCACAGACAGCCAGGAUGUUGGCUUAGAAGCAGCCAUCAUUUAAAGAAAGCGUAAUAGCUCACUGGUCGAGUCGGCCUGCGCGGAAGAUGUAACGGGGCUAAACCAUGCACCGAAGCUGCGGCAGCGACACUAUGUGUUGUUGGGUAGGGGAGCGUUCUGUAAGCCUGCGAAGGUGUGCUGUGAGGCAUGCUGGAGGUAUCAGAAGUGCGAAUGCUGACAUAAGUAACGAUAAAGCGGGUGAAAAGCCCGCUCGCCGGAAGACCAAGGGUUCCUGUCCAACGUUAAUCGGGGCAGGGUGAGUCGACCCCUAAGGCGAGGCCGAAAGGCGUAGUCGAUGGGAAACAGGUUAAUAUUCCUGUACUUGGUGUUACUGCGAAGGGGGACGGAGAAGGCUAUGUUAGCCGGGCGACGGUUGUCCCGGUUUAAGCAUGUAGGCUGAUUGUCCAGGCAAAUCCGGAUAAUCAAGGCUGAGGUGUGAUGACGAGGCACUACGGUGCUGAAGUAACAAAUGCCCUGCUUCCAGGAAAAGCCUCUAAGCAUCAGGUAACAUCAAAUCGUACCCCAAACCGACACAGGUGGUCAGGUAGAGAAUACCAAGGCGCUUGAGAGAACUCGGGUGAAGGAACUAGGCAAAAUGGUGCCGUAACUUCGGGAGAAGGCACGCUGGUGUGUAGGUGAAGUCCCUGCGGAUGGAGCUGAGACCAGUCGAAGAUACCAGCUGGCUGCAACUGUUUAUUAAAAACACAGCACUGUGCAAACACGAAAGUGGACGUAUACGGUGUGACGCCUGCCCGGUGCCGGAAGGUUAAUUGAUGGGGUUAUCCGUAAGGAGAAGCUCUUGAUCGAAGCCCCGGUAAACGGCGGCCGUAACUAUAACGGUCCUAAGGUAGCGAAAUUCCUUGUCGGGUAAGUUCCGACCUGCACGAAUGGCGUAAUGAUGGCCAGGCUGUCUCCACCCGAGACUCAGUGAAAUUGAACUCGCUGUGAAGAUGCAGUGUACCCGCGGCAAGACGGAAAGACCCCGUGAACCUUUACUAUAGCUUGACACUGAACAUUGAGCCUUGAUGUGUAGGAUAGGUGGGAGGCUUUGAAGCGUGGACGCCAGUCUGCGUGGAGCCAACCUUGAAAUACCACCCUUUAAUGUUUGAUGUUCUAACGUUGGCCCCUGACCGGGGUUGCGGACAGUGUCUGGUGGGUAGUUUGACUGGGGCGGUCUCCUCCCAAAGCGUAACGGAGGAGCACGAAGGUUAGCUAAUCCUGGUCGGACAUCAGGAGGUUAGUGCAAUGGCAUAAGCUAGCUUGACUGCGAGCGUGACGGCGCGAGCAGGUGCGAAAGCAGGUCAUAGUGAUCCGGUGGUUCUGAAUGGAAGGGCCAUCGCUCAACGGAUAAAAGGUACUCCGGGGAUAACAGGCUGAUACCGCCCAAGAGUUCAUAUCGACGGCGGUGUUUGGCACCUCGAUGUCGGCUCAUCACAUCCUGGGGCUGAAGUAGGUCCCAAGGGUAUGGCUGUUCGCCAUUUAAAGUGGUACGCGAGCUGGGUUUAGAACGUCGUGAGACAGUUCGGUCCCUAUCUGCCGUGGGCGCUGGAGAAUUGAGGGGGCUGCUCCUAGUACGAGAGGACCGGAGUGGACGCAUCACUGGUGUUCGGGUUGUCAUGCCAAUGGCACUGCCCGGUAGCUAAAUGCGGAAGAGAUAAGUGCUGAAAGCAUCUAAGCACGAAACUUGCCCCGAGAUGAGUUCUCCCUGAGACUUUAAGUCUCCUGAAGGAACGUUAAAGACGAUGACGUUGAUAGGCCGGGUGUGUAAGCGCAGCGAUGCGUUGAGCUAACCGGUACUAAUGAACCGUGAGGCUUAACCUUACAACGCCGAAG
rnacentral:rRNA from 1 species